UCCGGGGUGGCGGAACAGGCAGACGCACUAGGCAGUUUACCUAGGGUUCUAUGAACGUGGUGGUUCGAUCCCACCCCCCGGAGCCA
rnacentral:tRNA from 1 species